rnacentral:misc_RNA from 1 species
UGUAAAUCAUUCGAGACGCCAAUUGACGGUUGAUAAAUUUCAACUACGCAUUAAGCUGCUCUAAUUGUUUGUAAUCCCACGAAACUCGUUUGAUCUUGUAGGCGCUAUACGGCUUUUCUAGUAGCGAUACACUACAUAACGAAACCAUGGCGACUUGCUGGUAGAGUACGGUAAUCAAGUAUAUUCCCAUACGUUUGCGUUGAAACAAAGUCUUCAGAGUUGAUUUUUGCAGAUGGCCUUCGCCCGAUGAUCACGAUUCCAACAGGUGGCAGGACGACGGCAAAUAAACAUUCCAUUAUGAAAUACUCAAGGCACAUUAAAUGCACUGCUGCUCUGUCUCGUUCAACCCGAAGAGAGCAAAACACGAACAAAAUGUUUGAGCAGUUAGCAAAGUCUAAUGCCAUAACCACACUUUACCAACACACUUUACCACACUUACUCUGCACUGGCCAUUUCCAACAGGUUGGCAGUUCUACGAUAUUAAAUUCGAUAUUUAAAAGUAAGACCAGGCAACACGCAAGCGAUAGUUGUCAUCUUUUAUUGUUGAUGUUUGCCUGUAAAAUUGAUCAAAACCAAAGCCAACAACUAGAACUAAAGAAAAAUUAUAGUUUUGUGUGCAUUUUUCAGUCCGAACUCUCGUUUCUAGAUAGCGAGCAUCUCCAAGUAAGUACUGCCCCUACAACAAUUUCUGCUGUUGGGCGUCCCGGAGCUGUUUGUUUUCAGAGAAUAUGUACAUAAAUCGUGUAUCAGAUCGUAUAUUUUCCUCAGAGCAGACAACUAAAAAGAUCGAGAUUGCCACCACAGUCGCAGAAGAGUACAAGAUGGAAACAGUCGAGCAGGAUAUGGAAAACAACACGCAGCGAUCAUCUUCGUCAUCAAAUCUUUCGUUGUUUUACGAACCAGAGUUGCCAAGUGACUGCAAUCGCUGCGGCAAGGUCAUAUCCAUACACGUGGAGAAUUUCAUGUUCCAUGAGAAUUUUAGGGUGGAGUUUGGACCCAACACAAAUUUUCUGGUGGGCAAAAACGGGAGUGGCAAAAGUGCCACGAUCACAGCCCUGACCGUGGGUCUGGGCGGCACCGCACGUGCCUCUAGCCGUGCGGCCAGCAUACCGAAGCUCAUCAAAAAAGGCGAAAGGGCAGCCAAAAUCGAAAUAACCCUGUGUAACAUUGGAUGGAACCGAUUCGAUGCGGAACAUAUGGGACCGGACUAUCUGACGGUGGUGCGGCACAUACGCCAAUCAUCCUCGACCUAUGAGCUAAAGGAUGCACGCGGUAGAAUCGUCUCGAGGAAAUUAGAUGAUGUUAAGCGCCUGCUGCGCCGCUUUUGCAUUCAUGUCGAGAAUCCCGUUUUUGUGCUCAACCAGGAGGCUUCACGGGAAUUUCUUAAAAAACUGGAGCCAAAGUCAAAUUUCACACUCCUGAUGAAGGCAACGCAGCUGGAUAUUUGUCUGAAUGCUCUCGAAGAAUGUCUUGUGAAACGCAAAAACCUACACCGAGCUCUGGAAAAACGCGAAAUCGUAUCUUAGUUUACUCUCAGUGCCAAUACGUUUCACAUUGCCACGGAGAAAGCAAAUAUCGGAACAACUGGUGGCCGCCGAGGAGGAAAAAUUAGCCACACUCAAUGAUAGGGCAGCAGUCAAGUUGAAGUUAGAAAAAGCCAGCACCCAUCUCGCUUGGCUGUCGGUGGGCCAGCAAGAGGAGAAGCUGGCCAACUGUGAGCAGAUGAUUCAACUGAUGGAAGCCAAGAAGGCCAAGCUGGAGGCAGCCCAAACCCAGGAGGACUCCACACAAGCCAAACUCAUGCUACAGUUGAGGUUUCCUUCACAAUCCCAACCAAUUCUCGAACAAUCUUCAUGUGCCAUGUUCUGUUUUUAGCAAAUUCGAGGAAAUGAAACAGCAGAUCCAAGAUGUCUACAAAAACGCACGAGACAGAGUUGCGUGAAGCCAUGACCUUAAUGCAGGAGCAUCUUUCCAAAGUCAGCAAUAUCCGAGAACAAAUGAAAAAUGCCGAAAAAAUCCUGAGCGAGGAGCAGCACGACUACGAAUAUUAUCGCGGCGACCAUGCCCGGAUUAGACAGAAACGCGAGGAGCACACGGCCAGAGCGGUGGAGCUCAAGCAGCUGAUCGCCGAUAGAGAGGCACUCGUUAAGCAGCUCCGAGAGGAGCAACUGGUGACCAAAGAACGAUCAGUGUCUUGCCGAAGUACAAGAGGCUACCCAAGAGAUGUUGGAAAUAGGAAACACCGAGCACCGGGAUCUGCCAGAAGAAGAUCGUCUGAUUGCCGAUUGCCGUGAGAGAAUCGAGAAGUGCCAAGAAGGCCGCUGUGAGCUGCAGCUGAAACUUGACGAAAGCGAAAAUCUUCAGGCCCAAUAUGAAGCUAAGAAAUCCGUUGAAUUGAAGGCCCUCGAGGAGAUUACCAAACAGAUGGAGAUCCUCGAGCGAAGGCCCACGAAGUGUCCGAAAAAAAGCGUACCCUGGACAGUGAACUCUCGCAAAGGUGGAGCAGAAUAUGAAGCUAAAUAGCUGUGCUGCGGCAUAACCUGGUCGAAGAUGCCAAUCGUUUUAGACUAUCAGAAAAGGUCAUCAAUGAUCUGCGCCAGGUGUACCAGGUCAAUGCUAUAAAUGUCCAAAAAUAUCGCUAUCAUUACUUGACGAUGGUUCAGAAUAGUAUUGAGAGUACCCUAGAACUGCGACACUUUAAAGUAAGCUUUGAUUUGAAUCUAAAAGCAAAGACGUGGGACAUUCAUGUCUUUCGUGCUCUUCGUAAUUUUAAGACUAAGGUAUUUUACAAAAAUUGAAUAUUCUCAUAAUCGAGAAUAUAUUAAGGAAAAUUUACUCCAAGUAACUCCUACAACUUCUUCUUUACAAAAAUAUCACCAUAAGUCAUUUAUUUCCAUAAUAUAACAUACAUAUUUCCCAAAAAAAGAGUAUUUAAACUCCCUCUUAGUGGAAGAUAUCUUUAUGUCUGUCAUGGCACUGACGUGGUUGAUUGGGUUAUUGUUUGUCAGAAACCGCAAUCUACUUACAUGUGACAGUUAAGCGGCUCGGAAACCGGCACCAGACCAUCGAAGCUAGUGAAAACCGACUAGCAAAAA